rnacentral:rRNA from 1 species
AUUGAACGCUGGCGGCAGGCCUAACACAUGCAAGUCGAGCGAGCGGCGGACGGGUGAGUAAUGUAGGGGGCCCUGCCCGAUAGCGGGGGAUAACUACUGGAAACGGCGGCUAAUACCGCAUACUAUCGGAUGAACCCAUAUGGGAUUAGCUAGUAGGUGGGGUAAAGGCUCACCUAGGCGACAAUCCAUAGCUGGUCUGAGCGGAUGAUCAGCCACACUGGAACUGAGACACGGCCCAGACUCCUACGAGAGGCAGCAGUGGGGAAUAUUGCACAAUGGGCGAAAGCCUGAUGCAGCCAUGCCGCGUGUAUGAAGAAGGCCUUAGGGUUGUAAAGCACUUUCAGCGGGGAGGCGUUACCCACAGAGGAAGCAACGGCUAACUCCGUGCCAGCAGCCGCGGUAAUAC